rnacentral:lncRNA from 1 species
CAACGUUGUGAGACCAGCACAGCUUUUCUCCAGUUCCCUUAGCCCCUUGUAGACUCCUUACUGGGAAGACCACUAACAGCACCAGGAGGAAAUGCUGCAGCUUGCCUCAAAUCCUGGUCCAGCCGCGUGUCUGCUGGUGACUACAACAACCCUCUUAACGGAUCUGAGCCUUCGUUCCCUCAUCUGUGAGGUAGGGCUGAGGGUGCUGUCCACCUGCCCAGGCUGGUGGGGAACGUGCAAUGAGAUGAUCCCUGUAACAUGCUUGGCAUGAAGCUAGGCACAGUGUAGGUGUGAAUAUAUGAGAGCUGAUUAAAUUAACCAACCUUAUUCCUCCGCAUCAUGACUUACCAGCUACUACCCCACCUGUGUCCUGUAGAACCAGGCUUGCAAAGCCUCUGCUACAUACUAAAGCCAGGGAGAGGCCACUGAUGGGCAAAAAGAGGAGGACAGAGACCUGGAAAACACUAACAAGGGCCCAGUAUAUGCAUAGGAAGCAGACGGCUGAUGUUCAGGUGGAGUUCAGGUUCAGUAUGCUCCAGCAGCACCCAUCGGAGAACCCAUUGGUAAGAGGCUUUGGAACAGAUGAUUUUCUAAAGCUAUAACUGUGGGUGGCUUAUAGGGGUAGUGUGGCCACUGUGACACAUAGGUCCCAUGCCAUACAGGACCUUGGAGCCCUGUCCAAAGCAGUGAUGGGAAAUGCACGUGACUGGGGGCUCUCAGUCUAGGGGAACUAGGAGGGCUUCAGAUCCCAGAGCCUGGCUGAAGCCCCAGCAGGACCACAGUGAUGUCUUGUCUUGGGAAAGUGUGUGCCCUGCCCCCAGAGACACCUGGACUUUUCAGCUCAGCGCUGCGGCAAGCACCCUAGCACAUGCCACCCAGGGCUUCCCAGAGGGUGGCCCCGAGUCAGGCAGUACACUAAAGGUUGGGACUCAAGUGGAAAGUUUGCUGAGAGAGUGAACAGGGGAAGUUGUUGAUCCUGGCCUCAUCUGCCAUUGCUCUCUGGGCACCCUGGCGCUGAGCCAGCCUCGGCUGCUGGCCUCCCUCAGCUGCUGGCCUCCCUCAGUUGCUGGCCUCCCUCAGCUGCUGGCCUCCCUGCUGGGGGUCUGCACCAGGUAGAGUGCUGUUUGGCUGAGAUUCACACACACAAAAAAUCUCAUUAAGCGGUGGAUUAAACAAAAUUGGGGCUUAUUUCUUUCUCUUAUAACAAAAGCCCAGAGGUAGGUGGCUGUAUUAGUCAGGGUUCUCUAGAGGAACAGAACUAAUAGGAUCUACGUAUAUACGAAAGGGAGUUUAUUAAGGAGAAUUGACUCAAAGGAUCACAAGGCGAAGUCCCACGAUAGGCCGUCUGCAGGCGGAGGAGCAAGGAAGCCAGUGGUGGAUCAGUCCAGGUCCCAAAACCUCAAAAGCAGGGAAGCCAACAGUGCAGCCUUCAGUCUGUGGCCAAAGGCUCAAGAGCCCCCAGCAAGCCACUGGUGUAAGUCCAAGAGUCCAAAAGCUGAAGAACCUGGAGUCUGAUGUUCAAGGGCAGGAAGCAUCCCGCGUGGGAGGAAAGAUGAAAGCCAGAAGACUCAGCAAGCCAGCUUCUUCCACUUUCUUCCACCUACAUUUUUUAAGCUGCGCUGGCAGCCCAUUGGAUGGUGCCCACGCAGAUUGAGGAUGGGUCCACCUCUCCCAGUCCACUGACCCCAGUGUUUAUCUCCUCUGGCAACACCCUCACAGACACACCCAGAAACAAUACUUUUCAUCCUUCAAUUCAAUCAAGUUGACACUCAAUAAUCACAUCAAGCAUCCAAUGGACAGUCAUCUGAACACCUCUCCAGAUACAUCGCCACUGUGCAGGGCUUGGGCUGGCAGAGGGUGCUGCAUAAAGACCCAACUUCAAAAGGGAAUGAGAGAAACAGAGCAGUUCAUGAUGCCCCAAGUCUCCCUUUAAAAUCCUUCCGAGCAGGAAUUAUCACAAAGACUCCCCACCCUGGCAGCAGGGUGAGCUCCUUGGUGACCCCACAGGCAGCCCUGGCCCUGCUCUCUGAAGCACUUCCCGGGCUUGUCAUCCCGUGUCCCCUGGCUUUGUGCCCUGGAAGGCCCUUCCUUGUGCAGCACCCCUCAUGGCUCAACUGAAGCAAGCGUAGGAUGCUACACUCCUUGGGCAAUACACAGAUUUUGCAGCCAUCUUCUCCAGAUAUAGUUUUGAAGACCAUCACAGGCUAUUGUAGGCCCCACUUGUGGCACAUUUUUGGACAGUAACAGCCCCUCAAAAUGUAUUUGCUUCCUGUCUGUUCCAUGUGCAAGUAACCAUCCCCUCAAUCUGCUUACAGUCAUGAUCUUAAACGGACCAAGUCUCCUUUUCUGUUUCCAGGAUUUCUUGGUUGACCAGGUCUACGCUUCUGCACUAGUUCUCAAGAGCUGCUGUAACAAAGUGCCACAAACUAGGUGACUUAAAACAACAGGAAGUGAUCCUCUUAUAGUUCUGGAGGCUACAAGUCAGAAAUCAAAGUGUUGGCAGGGCCACGUGCCCUCAAAGGCUGUAGGGGACAAUCCGCUCCUUGCUCAUCCAGCCUCUGCUGGUUUCUAGCAGUCUUGAUGUUCCUCGGCUCCUGCCAGCAUCCUUGAAAUCUCCGCCUUCAUCUUCGCAUGGCUUUCUUUCUUGUUUCGGUGUCCAAGUUUCUUCCUUUUUAUAAGGACACCAGUCCUAUUGGAUUUAGAGUCCAUCCUAAUUCAUUACGGCCUGAUUACAACUGCUAAGACCCCUUUUUUAAAAAAUAAGGUUACAUUCACAAGUUCCAGGUGGACAUUAAUUACAAGGCAACACUAUUUAACUCGGUGCACCCUCUGUCUUUUUAUUUCAUGAUGUCUCCCCAAGGCCUUCUGAAACAGUAGGCUUGGUAGGGAGGCAGCACUCUUGCUCAGCUCAUGGAAGCUAAGGAGGCACCUAGAGACCCUUGCACCUACUGCUGCCUGAGAUACAGGAGCAGAUGGCUUUUCUAAUCUUGUGAGAAUCCAGACUUCUGGAUUUUAAAUCAAUUUAGAUUGCAGGUCUCAGCUUGUAAGCUUCUCUUAACCGAAGUCAAUUUUCUUCUAUACCUGUUUACAAAGCCAUGGGUUCUCACCUGAAUUUCUCUCUUUUGUAUUUUGCUAAAAGCAACAAAGAGCAGCCAACACUCUGAGUUUUUCCAGCAGAUUCCUGGUGAGACAAAGUCGAGAAGGUGGAUAGGAAAGUGGUCUGCUUUCCAAGUUAUCCCAGGGGACAGGUCUACCAAAAUUUGCAAAACACAGCAAGGGUGAACAGCUUCCAAACCUGCAGCGUCUAGACCCUCACCUCCUGCACCAACUGCUACGCCAGUGGUGUACAUUUUAGUUCUUCGUUUUGGUAGCACCCCACUUCUGGCACUAGUUUCUGUAUCUGUUAGGGUAGAAGCUAAGCUGCUAAAAUAAAGAGACCCAACCAUAGUGAUUUUGAUAAUGCAGAUCUUUUCACUCUCUCAUUUUACCAUGCAGGGGUGAAAAACCAGGGCUGGAAGGUGGCUGGGUCACCUUUAACUUGUUGUUACAUGACCACACGGAGCUGCAAGGGAGGGUGGGUUAUGCAGUCUGAAGCCAGACCACGUGCACAGCCAGAAUGUGUAUGGGGUUCUACUAAGUUUGAAAAGGAAAAAAGGCAUCACUGAUAUCAGAAGAUUGAUUUUCAAUUUUUCUCGAUCAUGUAUUUGGCGCUUUAUUGAGCUUCCAAUACCAAAUCUCCCUGGCUCCGUGCUGCCAUUUCUGCCUGAAUAUUUUCAAGGAAACUGAGCACCAGAGGUGUAGAGUAACUUUCCUGAAGUCACAGAGCAAUGUGGAGGUAGAGGUGGAGUCAGUGUCCAGAUCUACCAGGAGCCAAUCAGUCUGAGUCUAUCUGGGCGGCUACCACAAAAUACCACAGACUGAGUGGCCUAUAAACAACAGACGCUUACUUCUCUUAUUUAUCUCUGGAGGCUGGGAAGUCCACAAUCACGGGGCUGGCACAUUCAGCAUCUGGGCAGGGCUACUCUCUCUUUUAACAUGGCUCAUUUUUGCUGUGUCCUCACAUGGGGCUGGCAGAUGGCUGGGUCACCCUUAAUUUGUUGUUAAUUUCCAUGGUUCCUCCAAUUUGUUGUCACUCUUCCCAAAGGGCAGGGACUGAAAGAGUCUAUGGGAGCUUCUUCAGGGACACAACUCAGAAGUUGUAUGCAUCCCCUCUGCUCAUGUUCCAGUGGGCUGAGCUUUGUCACAUGACCACAUCUAGCUGCAAGGGAGGGUGGGAGAUACAGUCUGAAGCCAGAGAGCCAUGCGCACAGCUAGAAUGUGUGUGGGGCCAGAGGGGAUGAACGCUGUGUCCUUACAUGGCAGAGAAGAUGGAAGGCAAAAGGGACUAGGGUGCUUGCUACAACCUCUUUGAUGAGAGCAGAAAGCCAUUCAUGAGGGGGGAGUUCUCAUCAUUUAGUAACUUCCCUGAAAGCUCCACCUCUGAAUACCAUCACUUUGGGGUUUAAGUUCCAACAUGAAUUUUGGAGGGACACGUACAUUCAAACCACACCACAACCUGAUGCUCAUUUCCUCUUCCCUCCACCACAGGGUGAGACAAUCCUGCACCACAGGCAAUAAAGAGACCGUGAUAAGCAAAACCAUCCAUCUGGCUGUGGUUUGGCAUGCACCCCACUGGUCUCUUGAUUUUUCCCAAUUUCCCGUCUGGAGGGGGCCAUAGCCUAGGCCAGAAGAUGUUCUUUUCCCCCCAUGAACCUCAACAAAUCACCAAGUAUGUAAUGGAGGAAAACCGAAAAUCAAUCAUCUGAUAACAGUUCUGCCUUUUUCCUUGCUAUUAGUAGAACUCCACAUACCUGCUGUGCCCCUGGCUAUCUGGCUUCAGAGUACAUCUCCCACCUCCCUUGUAGCUGGAUGUGGUCAUGUGACAAAGGUCAGCCCAAUGGAACAUUUGAGCAGAGGGCAUGUGUACACCUUCUGAGUCCUGAGACCUAAAUGCAACCCAUUCUCCAAAAUCCAGUUUGCAUGCCCCCUCCUCCAGGAAGUCCUCUUUGACUACUGCAGUUUUUUGUUUUGCAAUACCCGUUUUCUAUAGUAUAUUGUUUCUGUGUUGUUCCCAUUGAUACAAAUGGUAUCCUCUUGAGGGCUGUUUAGCAAUUGUUUCAUCUUUCCCUAAUCCUGAGCCUCCCCUGUGUCUGCCACGGAGCCCAUGGCCUGCCCUCACUCCCUGGGUCUUGAGUGGGCUCCCCUCCUCUGUGCCUCCUCUGCUCCCAUCCUUACCUGCAUCAUUGACUUAUCCUGAUCAACUUUUAAGUCAACUGGUUACUUGUCUGCCUCACCCUCAAGAUCACAACCACUUUGACAGCAAGGACUUUGCUUUAAAGUUUUCUAGGGCUGACAUAACAAAGCUCCACAGACUCGGGGUCUUGAACAAGAGGGAUUUAUUUUCCCAUAGUCUUCCAGGCUGAAAGUUCAAGAUCAAAGUGUCGGCACGGUUGGUGGCUCCCGAGGCCCCGUCCUUGGCUUGCAGAUGCCGUCUUCUCCUUGUGUCUUAUCAUCUUCCCUCUCUGCAUGUCUGUGUUCUAAUCCCCUCUUUCUAUAAGGAUGUCAGUCCUCUUGGAUUCGGGCCCACCCUAAUGACCUCAUUUUAACUUAAUCACCUCUGCAAAGAUCUUAUCUCCGAACAUAAUCACAUUCUGAGUCCUUGGGGGUUACAGCUUCAACAUGAAUUUUUUUUGGGAAACACAAAACAGACUUGUUCCUUGUAGCCUACGUGCUCUGGCCCCUAGUACAGAACCUCUCUAAUGGGCCAUGUGGUAGCAGUCACUGGGUACCUGAAUGAAUGUUUAAAACACGAAGAACUGAUCUGACAGCUGGCACUGCUUUGGUGAUAAUUUAUCACAUCGAUCUUUCGGGUUCAGAGCGAGGGCACCCCAACCCCAGAGCAAAGGAGCUCCUGAGGUGGUGGCCAACAGAAAGCUGGAAGGGAGGCCCAGCUGCACUCCAGGAGAGCAGACCCAGCUGUUUCAGGGGCUCUGAGCCAUGUCUGACAACAUUCAAUGUGUUCAUGGAAAAUAGAAUCAGCCCAAUACACCUAAGCGGAGAGGAGGGUUUCUUAAGUGAGAGCUUUUUCCCCAAAAGAGGCGGGUGCUCCGAGGUCAGGAGAUCGAGACCAUCCCGGCUAAAACGGUG